rnacentral:rRNA from 1 species
AGUGAACGCUGGCGGUAGGCCUAACACAUGCAAGUCGAACGGCAGCACAGUAAGAGCUUGCUCUUACGGGUGGCGAGUGGCGGACGGGUGAGGAAUACAUCGGAAUCUACUUUUUCGUGGGGGAUAACGUAGGGAACCUUACGCUAAUACCGCAUACGACCUACGGGUGAAAGCCGGGGAUCUUCGGACCUUGCGCGAUUGAAUGAGCCGAUGUCGGAUUAGCUAGUUGGCGGGGUAAAGGCCCACCAAGGCGACGAUCCGUAGCUGGUCUGAGAGGAUGAUCAGCCACACUGGAACUGAGACACGGUCCAGACUCCUACGGGAGGCAGCAGUGGGGAAUAUUGGACAAUGGGCGCAAGCCUGAUCCAGCCAUACCGCGUGGGUGAAGAAGGCCUUCGGGUUGUAAAGCCCUUUUGUUGGGAAAGAAAAGCAGCAGGUUAAUACCCCGCUGUUCUGACGGUACCCAAAGAAUAAGCACCGGCUAACUUCGUG